AGUGGGUGUAAUGUACCUACUAGCCUACGACGGGUACGGGUUGUGAGAGCAAGAGCCCGGAGAUGGAUUCUGAGACAUGAAUCCAGGCCCUACGGGGCGCAGCAGGCGCGAAAACUUUACAAUGCGGGAAACCGCGAUAAGGGGACACUGAGUGCCAGCACCAUGUGCUGGCUGUCCGCAUGUAUAAAUCACAUGUGUCAGCAAGGGCCGGGCAAGACCGGUGCCAGCCGCCGCGGUAACACCGGCGGCCCGAGUGGUGGCCAUUAUUAUUGGGUCUAAAGGGUCCGUAGCCGGUUUGAUCAGUCUUCCGGGAAAUCUGACAGCUCAACUGUUAGGCUUCUGGGGGAUACUGUCAGACUUGGGACCGGGAGAGGUAAGAGGUACUACAGGGGUAGGAGUGAAAUCUUGUAAUCCUUGUGGGACCACCAGUGGCGAAGGCGUCUUACCAGAACGGGUUCGACGGUGAGGGACGAAAGCUGGGGGCACGAACCGGAUUAGAU
rnacentral:rRNA from 1 species